CCCAUCGAAGCCGAACGGAUAGGCGACCGAUUGUGGGUCGGUGAGUAGCGGGUUCGACUCCCGUCGAUGGGC
rnacentral:tRNA from 1 species